rnacentral:rRNA from 1 species
UACGUAGGGCGCAAGCGUUGUCCGGAAUUAUUGGGCGUAAAGAGCUCGUAGGCGGCCUGUCGCGUCGGCUGUGAAAACCCGAGGCUCAACCUCGGGCCUGCAGUCGAUACGGGCAGACUAGAGUGCUGUAGGGGAGACUGGAAUUCCUGGUGUAGCGGUGAAAUGCGCAGAUAUCAGGAGGAACACCAAUAGCGAAGGCAGCUCGCUGGGACGUUACUGACACUAAGGCGCGAAAGCGUGGGGAGCGAACAGG